rnacentral:rRNA from 1 species
CACGUAGGGGGCAAGCGUUGUCCGGAAUCAUUGGGCGUAAAGAGCUCGUAGGCGGCUCAGUAAGUCGGGUGUGAAACCUCCAGGCUCAACCUGGAGACGCCACCCGAUACUGCUGUGGCUAGAGUCCAGUAGGGGAGUGUGGAAUUCCCAGUGUAGCGGUGAAAUGCGCAGAUAUCGGGAGGAACACCAGCGGCGAAGGCGGCACUCUGGGCUGGUACUGACGCUGAGGAGAGAAAGCGUGGGUAGCAAACAGG